rnacentral:rRNA from 1 species
GACGAACGCUGGCGGCGUGCUUAACACAUGCAAGUCGAACGGUAAGGCCCUUCGGGGUACACGAGUGGCGAACGGGUGAGUAACACGUGGGUGAUCUGCCCUGCACUUCGGGAUAAGCCUGGGAAACUGGGUCUAAUACCGGAUAGGACCACUGCCUACCUGGGUGGUGGGGGACAGCUUUUGCGGUGUGGGAUGGUCCCGCGACCUAUCAGCUUGUUGGUGGGGUAAUGGCCGACCAAGGCGACGACGGGUAGCCGGCCUGAGACGGUUGACCGGUCACACUGGGACUGAGAUACGGCCCAGACUCCUACGGGAGGCAGCAGUGGGGAAUAUUGCACAAUGGUCGCAAGCCUGAUGCAGCGACGCCGCGUGAGGGAUGACGGCUUUCGGGUUGUAAACCUCUUUCAGCUAUGACGAAGCGCAAGUGACGGUAGUAGCAGAAGAAGGACCGGCCAACUACGUGCCAGCCGCCGCCGUAA